UUUCUCAGGGGAAAAACACUUUAAUGUAAUGUAAUGCACUUUGCCGUGCAAAUUAAUCACGCAAGGCAGAGCGAGCAUGUAAUAGUAUGUGUGCCGACCACUGCACUAUAAGAAAAUAAAUGUAGUUUCCAGCCCUGCUCGUCUAAAGUCUUUACCUUAUUGUAUUGGCAUUUUAUUUCUGAUUGGAAACAAAAGUCCAACAUCGUUUCAAAAAUUGAGUUAAUAAAUGUUAGCCAUAGCAUAAGCCAAGACAGCACACAUUUUAGCCCAUACAUACAACAUGCUAUAGUUAAUAAAAAAACAAUUUACAUUACAUUUUAUUACGGUAAUACUGAAAAAGCUCUACUUAGUUUCCACCCCUGCUCGGUUUAAGUCUCUACUUAAUUGUGAUGGCGUAAAGGGAAACAAGAGUCCACAUCGUUUAAAAAACCAAGUUAAAAAAUGUUAGCCAGAACAUAAACCAAAACAAUACCAGCAUUAAAAAUAUUAGCCGACAUUAAUACAGCUAUGAUAAAAAAAAUUAAAUUAACAAUGCGCUAACAGACUGGUGUGCUCAAUAAAAGAGUCAGUUUAAUGGUCAAUUGCUGAUUUUUAAAAGUUUGUCAAAAUUUUUAUUUUCUCGAUUUUUACUUGAUAUUUGGCACCACUACCGCCCAAAAACAAUGAGAAAAAUAGCCGGUAAACAAAUAGCCUUGACAAAUCAAAACAAAGAACAGCUGUUUAGACGCAAUGUAACAGACAAUUCUGCUUUAUCGAUAGGCGACGUACGUGAGUGCAACUCGGCUAAAACUUGGCUACUAUAACGUUCGUUUCAGCCUCUGCCACCGUUCUCCUACUGCUAUGCUGGUAAAACCUUCGCCUAUGCUCACAGAAUAGGAGCCGUGCCGAAUCGAUGAAUUUCAUAACUUACAUAUAUUUUGCAAAAAUCUGUUUAAUACGCUGUGUGUUCUGGCACUUACCCGUCUGCCAUUACCGAUAAGUAAUAGCCUGAUUCCAUUGCCGCGUUAGUGGAUUUUUAAAUGCACCUGAUUCCAUUGGCGCAUUAGCAUUUAGCUAAUGCUACUCCGACAUGUGAGUGUCACAAACAGCUGAUCUGGGUUUGUUUACUUUUGAAUUGUCGCAAAUCAAAUAGAAAUGAAUUAAACAUCAUGAGUAUGAGCAGCAGGAUAUCCAUAUUGCUAUCGAAGCAUUUGCCAGAUUGGACUACAAGGAACGGGAGCUGGUGGUGUUGUCUAACAGGUUUUCUAAGGAAACCACUACUAUUUAUAAGGAAGGGCCAAAGUCCUUAUAUAUGUGGGAGUUAUUUCCUGCCAGAGAUCCAGCAGUAAUGCAUUGUAGACCAGCGACCAGGAUUUGCUGGACUUGCUCUUGUUUUCAGUAAUUUUUACGCAAAAUAGAUUUUAUAUGCAAAAGAAUUCUAAAAUUGCGCCAUCAGCGAAGUCAAUAAAAGCCAGCAGCAAGUAACCUGCACCUGCCAAGUCAGCAGCAAUCCCCAACAUCUUCAAACUUCGACAGCAGCAUCAGUAGCAGUGGCGUCAGCAGCAGUGACAUCAGGAGGAGCAGUUAGUGACGACCACGACCUGCGGCAGCCCAAGGAUCAGCAGCCACAUACGGUUGCGAGCGGAUCGCACUUGCCAAAGGCUGCACUACAUCCGGAGCAUUUGGUUCCCUGCGGUCUCUUGAUGGUUUUUGAAGUAGCAGUUUCUUCCGUAUUUUUGCCGCAUCGACCAUAAGCACGUUUUCCAUCCUGAAAUAAAUAACUUGUGAACUUUUAA